ensembl:lncRNA
CUCGUAUUGGGUUGCUGGUGUAAUCAUUGUAUUAACACGGCCCCUGUUGUGAGUAUCGCUUAAAGUUAGAGCUAUUCAUAAUAUCCCAUAUGUUGUUAUGGCACAAGCUAUUAUCUCGACGAUUUAUAUUAGCUAAUCUGCCGGGGCUUUUCCGCUGCCCGUUUGCUGCCCCUUUAGUGAUCCUUUCCCUCAGCAGUUUGGAAGACAUUGAAUGAUCGGCACUGCAGCAAGUUUACAAACCAGUUGAACUGCACCACUGAGAAGAACGACACUGGUGUUAAUUUGCUGGUAUCCUUUUGGAAACCCUCUCCGCUAGCUACGAACUCACUGCCUAGCUAUUUAUACGUCUCUUUGUUUCCCCCAUCAAAAGUGGUGAUCUCAUCAAGCUAACGCCAGACUGUCCACACGGAUGUGCGACAUCUACCGAAGUGUCCCGUUGUCUUACAUGUUUGUUUUAGUUCAGUCCAGAAGACUGGAAGUUGCCAGAGUCCCAGGUAGUGGAAUCGAAAAGUCCGGACAAACUCCGUCCCGACGAGGACAAAUGCAAGACGACGUGUACCGAAGCGGCCAUUUGACCGAAAAGAAGUUGUCAGUCAUGUCAUCUGCAUAUUACAUGCAGUAGCCGGCGGUCUUGUCAAAAGUUACUAGUGCAAGUAACAGAGUUUGAUGGAAUAGCAGGCCUAGUUGCAUGCCCUGAAGAUUUGCAUUAAUAAACGACCGGGUUUGAGGCAACGGCACUAUGUCGGACGACAACAACGUUGACAAAUUUAUAAAGGAGACCUCCAUCUUGGAGGAGUACAACAUCAACUGGACACAGAAGCUCGGAGCUGGCAUCAGUGGACCUGUGAGGUGAGUGAUCACACGGAUGUCAGCUCAGUCAUGGAAGACAUCCACUGUCCCUCAGACAGUCACUUGACUGUCUGUGAGCGGCCUGCUGUUGUUGUUCCACUAGUGUGAAGCGUGUUUGCCAAAUUUCUCAAAGACCUAAGUCCAAGACUGAGUUUGCAAAUGAAUUGUGAUUCUGGUGUGAUUGGCACUCAGACAAGAC